UACGUAGGGUGCAAGCGUUGUCCGGAAUUAUUGGGCGUAAAGAGCUCGUAGGCGGUCUGUUGCGUCGGCUGUGAAAACCCGAGGCUCAACCUCGGAAUGUCGGCGGAAACCCUCUGGCUAGAGUCCGGAAGAGGAGAGUGGAAUUCCUGGUGUAGCGGUGAAAUGCGCAGAUAUCAGGAAGAACACCUAUGGCGAAGGCAGCUCUCUGGGACGGUACUGACGCUGAGACGCGAAAGCGUGGGGAGCGAACAGG
rnacentral:rRNA from 1 species